rnacentral:lncRNA from 1 species
GCCCUGUCCAACGCGGAGCCCGAAGAAUUACUAAGAAACCGAGGUCUGAAGGAGGGAAGAGGUGACGGGCUCGAGGCCACACGGUGGGCCAGGCUGGGCCCGGCUGCACGCCGGCUACCGGGGCCCAGCCCUCUGCACGCCUCCCGCAGCCUCAGUUUCCCUGUCCGUGGUACUGAGGAUGCUCGGGCCUAGAAGUUCAGGGCUGGAGGCCCAGGGACCGUCGAGGGAGGGGCAUCAUCCCCGCCAUGGGGCCGCCGCAACUGCCCAGAGCACAGGCCAAAGACCCCUGAGGCCCCCUCCUCCUUCAGAGCAUGCACGUCGCAAAUUCUCAAUGACUGUUUGGAGGAAUGAAUAAAUGAAUUGUGAACAA